ACUAUGCGUAGGAAUUAUUGUGCAUAAAAGACAGCUAUUUUUGUUUUUCUAUCUGUGUGGUGUAAGUCUCCAAGAAGAAAUAAGCUUGUCAAGUUAACUUCCGGCGAAGUAAUCCGACAAUGCCAACUUCAACAGUUUUACUCUGUUGUGUUGUUCUGAUUCAGCUGUUUGCUGGUCAAACCGAUGCUCGAUCUAGCAGUCCAUGGCAAACACUCAGUGGCGGUGCUCCUCUUGUGAUUGCUCGUGGUGGGUUUUCUGGAUUGUUUCCAGAUUCGAGUAGUGCUGCUUACGGUUUCGCAGUGCAGACAAGUGUACCAGGUGCUGUUCUGUGGUGUGAUGUUCAGCUAACUAAAGAUGGAGCUGGGAUUUGCUUUCCUGACUUAAAACUAAACAACGCUUCAACUGUUGAAUACUUUUAUCCAAAUCGCCAAAAAUCUUACCCAGUUAAUGGAGUCUCUACACAGGGUUGGUUCACCAUCGAUUUCUCCUUGAGCGAUCUCAGUAAUGUUUAUUUGCUCCGAGGAAUAUUAUCUCGAACAGAAAAAUUCGAUGGAAGAUAUCCCAUUUUGACGGUUGAAUAUGUAACGACGCAGAUAAAACCAGAAAGUUUUUGGUUAAAUGUUCAGCAUGAUGCGUUCUACGAGCAGCAGAAUCUAAGCAUGAGCAAUUUUCUGAUAUCAGCUUCAAGAAUUGUUUCCAUUAACUACAUCUCUUCCCCUGAAGUGAAUUUCUUUACAAAGAUUGCUGGCCGUUUGGGGCGUAAUGGACCGAUUUUCGUGUUCCAGUUUCUUCGAAAAGAAGACAUCGAGCCGACAACAGACCGAACUUAUGGUUCUAUCUUGAGUAACCUGACUUUUGUCAAGACGUUUGCUUCAGGGAUUCUUGUCCCAAAGUCUUACAUAUUGCCACUUGAUGACAAGCAAUACUUGGUUCCUCCUCCUCCUAAAUCCUUAGUUCAAGAUGCUCACGAGGCAGGAUUACAAGUAUAUGUGUCAGGUUUUGCCAAUGAUAUUGAUAUUGCUCAUGACUACAGUUCCGAUCCGGUGUCUGAGUAUCUAUCUUUUGUGGACAAUGGCAAUUUCUCUGUUGAUGGUGUGCUCUCAGAUUUUCCCUUAACUGCAUCUUCAUCCAUUGACUGCUUCUCCCACCUUGGUGAAAACGCUAUAAAACAAGUUGAUUUUCUUGUUAUAUCGAAAAAUGGAGCGAGUGGGGGCUGCCCUGGAUGUACAGACUUGGCAUAUGAUAAAGCCAUCAAAGAUGGUGCUGAUGUUAUCGAUUGCUCAGUCCAGAUGUCCAGCGACGGCGUACCUUUUUGCUCACGUUCAAUAGAUCUCUCGAACAGCACAAUGAUCUCUCCCAAACACCUUUCGCGCAACGUUCAACACUUGUUCCUGAGAUUAGCUCAAAUGGUGGGAUAUACACUUUUAGUCUCACAUGGGCUGAGAUCCGGAACUUGACUACUGCGAUUGGAAACCCCUAUAGGUCAUACGCUAUGUUCAGGAAUCCGAAUAAGAAAAAUUCAGGAAAGCUAAUUUUGCUUUCUGAGUUCCUAAACUUGGCAAGGAAUUCAACUUCGCUCUCAGGUGUUUUGAUCAGUGUAGAGAAUGCAGUGAACCUGAGAGAGAAGCAAGGGCUCGACGUGGUCAAAGCGGUUCUCGAUACUCUCACGGAAACUGGUUACAGCAAUGGAACAACCAAAACAAAGGUCAUGAUUCAGUCAACGAACAGCUCGGUUCUUGUUGAGUUCAAGAAGCAGAGCAAGUAUGAGGCAGUCUACAAAGUGGAUGAAAAAAUUAGUGAUAGUAGUGAUUCUGCUAUCGAAGACAUAAAGAAAUGUGCUAAUGCUGUUGUCAUCGGAAAAGAAUCAGUCUUUUCUUUAUUAGAUUCUUUCAUCACUAGGCAAACCAAUGUUGUGGAGAAGCUGCAGAAGUCUAAGCUCCCGGUUUAUGUGGAACUGUUUCAGAACGAGUUUGUAUCUCAACCAUAUGACUUCUUCUCUGACCCAACCGUCGAGAUAAACUCAUAUAUCCUUGGAGCUGGUAUCAAUGGAACCAUCACAGAGUUCCCUUUCACAGCAGCAAGAUACAGAAGGAAUCGAUGUUUGGGAACACAAGAAACUCUACCACCUUACAUGGCCCCUGUUGAACCAGGUUCUCUCUUACAAGCUGUGAAUGCCAUACCUCCAGCCCAAGCUCCAAACCCGGUUUUCACAGAUGAUGAUGUAACUGAGCCACCACUACCUCCGGUUGCAGCAAAAUCCCCAACCUCAACCCCUGGAGACUCAUUCACCAAUGCACAAGCACCUAGGCCUAGCGGACAAACUCGACUCACUCUGUCUCUUCGCUUCUCUGUUUUUGCCUCUCUGCUACUUCUUUGGAUCUCAUCACCUCUUUGUUCAUAAUGUCUUCUGCCCUCGUAAUGAAUUUCCCUGUGUGACUUAGUCAAAUCUUUCCCUUGUGAGGGUCCGUUGUGAUUCUUUGUCGUGCCAACUUCUUGGAUUCAUUUUAAAUAUUAAUUUGGUGUGUUAAAUAUUAA